UCUGGUGACUAUAGCAAGGAGGUCACACCUGUUCCCAUGCCGAACACAGAAGUUAAG
rnacentral:rRNA from 1 species